rnacentral:lncRNA from 1 species
UAGCCGCAGAUGGGACGGAAGUAGCAAAAGACCGGGUUGCAAAAUGGGGAAGUCUGUACCCUCCACAGCGACCGAUACCCCCACCCCCGCCACCACCUCCCCAAGGGUCCAAGACCACCGCCGCCACCACGCAAUGGGUCAUAGUGACGUGUGGAAAGAGAGACAAACGUGAAGGUGCUCUGCUCUCUACCUCACUUCUUAACCACUUAAUUUGUGUUUAUGAUAUUUACGUAUUAAUCAUAUCCUUUCCUUUUUUAUUACGUAGCAUUAGCCGUAGAUGGGACGGAAGUAGCAAAAGACCGGGUUGCAAAAUGGGGAAGUCUGUACCCUCCACAGCGACCGAUACCCCCACCCCCGCCACCACCUCCCCAAGGGUCUGAGACCACCGCCGCCACCACGCAAUGGGGAAGCAUUUACCCUCUGAGACCGAUACCGCCACCACCUCCCCAAUUGUCCGAGACCACCUCUGCCACCACUAUCAAUUGACCACGGCCCCGCCCAAAACAAACCGUCCGAUAUUCGGGAAAUAAUUAAAACAAAAAAAAGAAGUAUGUGAUAAGAUUAAGAAAAAAGGGUAAUACAUAGAUAAAGUUUAAUAUAUAUAUAUAUAUAUAUAUGGAUAUUGUGGUAAAAUAUAUAUAUA